CAGCCGCCGCGGUAAUACGGAGGGUGCAAGCGUUAAUCGGAAUUACUGGGCGUAAAGCGCACGCAGGCGGUUUGUUAAGUCAGAUGUGAAAUCCCCGAGCUUAACUUGGGAACUGCAUUUGAAACUGGCAAGCUAGAGUCUUGUAGAGGGGGGUAGAAUUCCAGGUGUAGCGGUGAAAUGCGUAGAGAUCUGGAGGAAUACCGGUGGCGAAGGCGGCCCCCUGGACAAAGACUGACGCUCAGGUGCGAAAGCGUGGGGAGCAAACAGGAUUAGAGACCCGUGUAGUCCCUGUCUCUUAUAC
rnacentral:rRNA from 1 species